GACGAACGCUGGCGGCGUGCCUAAUACAUGCAAGUUGAGCGCUGAAGGUUGGUACUUGUACCAACUGGAUGAGCAGCGAACGGGUGAGUAACGCGUGGGGAAUCUGCCUUUGAGCGGGGGACAACAUUUGGAAACGAAUGCUAAUACCGCAUAAAAACUUUAAACACAAGUUUUAAGUUUGAAAGAUGCAAUUGCAUCACUCAAAGAUGAUCCCGCGUUGUAUUAGCUAGUUGGUGAGGUAAAGGCUCACCAAGGCGAUGAUACAUAGCCGACCUGAGAGGGUGAUCGGCCACAGUGGGACUGAGACACGGCCCAAACUCCUACGGGAGGCAGCAGUAGGGAAUCUUCGGCAAUGGACGAAAGUCUGACCGAGCAACGCCGCGGGAGUGAAGAAGGGUUUCGGAUCGUAAAACUCUGUUGGUAGAGAAGAACGUUGGUGAGAGUGGAAAGCUCAUCAAGUGACGGUAACUACCCAGAAAGGGACGGCUAACUACGUG
rnacentral:rRNA from 1 species